UGUGGGAGCGGGCUUGCUCGCGAUGCAGGCAACGCGGUUUGCCUGCAUCUGUGCGGCGCAUUCAUCGCGAGCAAGCCCGCUCCCACA
rnacentral:misc_RNA from 1 species